UACGGGGGGUGCAAGCGUCGUUCGGAAUUAUUGGGCGUAAAGAGCGUGUAGGCGGUUUGUUAAGUCUGAUGUGAAAGCCCUGGGCUCAACCCAGGAAGUGCAUUGGAAACUGGCAGACUUGAAUACGGGAGAGGGCAGUGGAAUUCCUAGUGUAGGAGUGAAAUCCGUAGAUAUUAGGAGGAACACCGGUGGCGAAGGCGGCUGCCUGGACCGAUAUUGACGCUGAGACGCGAAAGCGUGGGUAGCAAACAGG
rnacentral:rRNA from 1 species